rnacentral:rRNA from 1 species
ACCAGACUCCUACGGGAGGCAGCAGUGGGGGAUAUUGCACAAUGGGGGGAACCCUGAUGCAGCGACGCCGCGUGGGUGAAGGAGCGUUUCGGCGCGUAAAGCCCUCUCGGCAGGGAAGAAAAUGACGGUACCUGAGUAAGAAGCCCCGGCUAACUACGUGCCAGCAGCCGCGGUAAUACGUAGGGGGCAAGCGUUAUCCGGAUUUACUGGGUGUAAAGGGAGCGUAGACGGCCAGACAAGUCUGAAGUGAAAAUCCAGCGCUUAACGUUGGAAGUGCUUUGGAAACUGCCGGGCUAGAGUGCAGGAGGGGCAGGCGGAAUUCCUAGUGUAGCGGUGAAAUGCGUAGAUAUUAGGAGGAACACCAGUGGCGAAGGCGGCUUACUGGACUGUAACUGACGUUGAGGCUCGAAAGCGUGGGGAGCAAACAGGAUUAGAUCCCCGGGUAAG